AUGCACGCUGGCGGCGUGCUUAACACAUGCAGGUCGCACGGAAAGGCCCAAGCUUGCUUGGGUACUCGAGUGGCGAACGGGUGAGUAACACGUGGGUGAUCUGCCCUGCACUUCGGGAUAAGCCUGGGAAACUGGGUCUAAUACCGGAUAGGACCACUUCUUGGAUGUUGUGGUGGAAAGUUUUCUCGGUGUGGGAUGAGCUCGCGGCCUAUCAGCUUGUUGGUGGGGUAAUGGCCUACCAAGGCGUCGACGGGUAGCCGGCCUGAGAGGGUGUACGGCCACAUUGGGACUGAGAUACGGCCCAGACUCCUACGGGAGGCAGCAGUGGGGAAUAUUGCACAAUGGGCGCAAGCCUGAUGCAGCGACGCCGCGUGGGGGAUGACGGCCUUCGGGUUGUAAACUCCUUUCGCUAGGGACGAAGCGUUUUUGUGACGGUACCUGUAGAAGAAGCACCGGCUAACUACGUG
rnacentral:rRNA from 1 species